AUAAAACCAAUCGAGAUGAUAAAAAGUUGACUAAGAGUGAGUAAUAUUCUUCUGGGAAAGUCAAUGAUCUUAUCAAGCAAUCUCUGCCAGAAUAGGUGGUAACUGCAUUAGUAUAUUAAAUGAUACAGUUAUAAUUAUGGAGAGAGUAACUGUCAAACAGCGGGAGCAAUUUAAUCUAGUAACAGCACCGAAAACAUCGCGCAUCGUGAAUAAAGUCCAGAUUUAUUUUUAACAUAUUACGCAGACCUGAUUCCGGGAAUAUGUAUAAACGGCCACAUCUGGUUACCUUCUUGGCAUGGAAUAAAAACUUUUCCAUCAUGAAUAAUCAUUCUGUUCAUACGGUUUCCCAAGCAGAGGCAGACCUGCAUCGCAAAUCUCGAGUAAUAUCGGCAAGGAACGAUUUCAGAAGAAGAUACGGGAUAAAUAUCACGUGAAUACUCACGAACAACGACUAACGAACGCAAUUAGUUCAAUUAGCUCAUUGCAGUCGCUGUUCAUUUCUGAUCUGGAGCUCGUUGAUGGACUUGCGUCAGAAACGUGGUCAAACAAUCUCCAACGAAGAAUUAUG
rnacentral:misc_RNA from 1 species